GCCUAGUUAGCUUAGUUGGUAGUGCGUCUGCCUUGUAAGCGCUAGGCCGCGGGUUCGAUUCCCGCGGGGGGCG
rnacentral:tRNA from 1 species